rnacentral:lncRNA from 1 species
UUUUUUAUUAUUUAUUUAUUUGUUUUCGUUCUUAUUAUUAUUGCAUGGUUCUGUCAUUUUAUUUUAUUAUUAUUAUCAUUUAUAUGCAUUCUUUUUAUAAAAAAAAAAAAAAAAAAGAGAUUACCGCAGCGUGCACGCUGCAUUUUUUUUUUUUUGCAGCGUGCGAGGCACAACCUCAAUGCCCAUCGGAUGGCUAAGAUAAGGGGCUGAGAGGAGGUUGAUUGCUGGCCAUUGAGAGCAGGUUUAGGGGAUUGGGAGAUGGUACAAAAAGGAAAGAAGACAUCAGCCGCAAGGAGAGCUUCAUCGUGGGGAGAGUUUUGCAGCUAACGGGAGCGAAAAAAAAAAAACGGGAACAAAACUGGACAGAGGGGAGAGCAAGGGGAGAGCUGAGGCUUCGGUGGGCUAAGGAAAGAAACCAGAAAAACGGAGAGGAGGAGCUUUGAGAGGAAAAAGAAAAGAAAGGGCAAGGUGGCGGCUGAAGCCAAUAGAUGUAGAAAGAAAGAGAUUGACGGCGUGGGUUCUGGAAGAAGGAAGAAGGAAAGCAGAGAGAGGAAAAGCUUGGGGAAGGAAUCGUGAUAAGCAAGGAGGAAAUGAGC